rnacentral:rRNA from 1 species
GACGAACGCUGGCGGCGUGCUUAACACAUGCAAGUCGAACGGAGUGGCGAACGGGUGAGUAACACGUGGGUGACCUGCCCUGCACUUCGGGAUAAGCCUGGGAAACUGGGUCUAAUACCGGAUAGUGUGGGAUGGGCCCGCGGCCUAUCAGCUUGUUGGUGGGGUAAUGGCCUAUCAAGGCGGCGACGGGUAGCCGGCCUGGGAGGGUGGACGGGCACAAUGGGACUGAGACACGGCGCAGACUCCUACGGGAGGCAGCAGUGGGGAAUAUGGCACAAUGGGCGGAAGCCUGAUACAGCGGCGCCGCGUGGGGAAUGACGGGCUUCUAGUUGUAAACUACUUUCACCAUCGACGCGGUAGAUGGAGAAGAAGCACCGGCUAACUACGUGCCAGCAGCCGCGGUAAUUC